rnacentral:rRNA from 1 species
AUUGAACGCUGGCGGCAGGCCUAACACAUGCAAGUCGAACGGUAACAGGAAGCAGCUUGCUGCUUCGCUGACGAGUGGCGGACGGGUGAGUAAUGUCUGGGAAGCUGCCUGAUGGAGGGGGAUAACUACUGGAAACGGUAGCUAAUACCGCAUAAUGUCGCAAGACCAAAGAGGGGGACCUUCGGGCCUCUUGCCAUCGGAUGUGCCCAGAUGGGAUUAGCUGGUUGUGGGGGUAACGGAUCACCAAGCCGACGAUCCCUAGCUGGUCUGAGAGGACGACCCGCCCCUCUGGGACGAGGACGCGGUCCAGCCUCGUACGGGAGGCAGCAGUGGGGAAUAUUGCAGAAUGGGCGCAAGCGUGAUGCAGCCAUGCCGCGUGUAUGAAGAAGGCCUUCGGGUUGUAAAGUACUUUCAGCGGGGAGGAAGGGAGUAAAGUUAAUACCUAUGCUCAUUGACGUUACCCGCAGAAGAAGCACCGGCUAACUCCGU